UACGUAGGGUCCGAGCGUUGUCCGGAAUUACUGGGCGUAAAGAGCUCGUAGGUGGUUUGUCGCGUUGUCCGUGAAAACUCACAGCUCAACUGUGGGCGUGCGGGCGAUACGGGCAGACUGGAGUACUGCAGGGGAGACUGGAAUUCCUGGUGUAGCGGUGAAAUGACGCAGAUAUCAGGAGGAACACCGGUGGCGAAGGCGGGUCUCUGGGCCGAUACUGACGCUGAGGAGCGAAAGCAUGGGGAGCGAACAGG
rnacentral:rRNA from 1 species